rnacentral:ribozyme from 1 species
AAAAAAAAAAAAAAAAAGACAGAUGAUACUCUGGUGGGGCAACUGUAACGCCAACAAGUAGCAGGCUUGCUGGGUGUUUCUUCUUCUUCUUCUUCACUUGUGAACUUUCCCUUUACCAUUACUUUCUCCUUCAUGUAAUUAUUGUGUGAUCUUGA